CGCAUCUGUGCAUGCAGCAUAUCAAUAAGCGGAGGAAAAGAAACUAACAAGGAUUCCCUUAGUAACGGCGAGUGAAGCGGGAAGAGCUCAAAUUUGAAAUCUUCAAGGUUUUACCUUGACGAAUUGUAGUUUAAAGAAGUGUUUUCUGUUGAAGUUUUGGUAAAAGUCCUUUGGAAUAGGACAUCAUAGAGGGUGAGAAUCCCGUAUUUGACCAUUAUUUUCAGCUGUGUGAUACACUUUCAAAGAGUCGGAUUGUUUGGGAAUGCAGGUCCAAAAUGGGUGGUAAAUUUCAUCUAAAGCUAAAUAUUGGCGAGAGACCGAUAGCGAACAAGUACCGUGAGGGAAAGAUGAAAAGAACUUUGAAAAGAGAGUUAAACAGUACGUGAAAUUGUCAAAAGGGAAGCGUUUGACACCAGUGUUGUUUUCUCGAAAAUCAAUUAAAAAGAGUUAGAUUUUGUUGUGUAUUGACCUUAACAGCUUGCAUUUCAAUUUUCUUGCUUUUUUUAAUGCACUUUUCGUUUAACAAGUCAACAUCAGUUUCUUUUGUUGUAAAAAGGUCAUUGGAAGGUGGCUUUCUUUUCGGAGAAAGUGUUUAUAGCCUUUGACUCCAGCAAUCGGAGAGACUGAGGUCUGCAGCGUAGAUCCUUCGGGGUUAGAUACAUUUGUGCUAAGUUAUAGCUUUUUAUAGACAACUUGUUGACUAUGAUUAGUCUUGUAGCUUACUCGCUUAUGCUAUUUUACCUACGCUUAGGAUGUUGAUGUGAUACUGCGAGCA
rnacentral:rRNA from 1 species